rnacentral:rRNA from 1 species
UACGGAGGGGGGCUAGCGUUGUUCGGAAUUACUGGGCGUAAAGCGCACGUAGGCGGCUUUGUAAGUUAGAGGUGAAAGCCCAGGGCUUAACCCUGGAAUUGCCUUUAAGACUGCAUCGCUUGAAUCAUGGAGAGGUUAGUGGAAUUCCGAGUGUAGAGGUGAAAUUCGUAGAUAUUCGGAAGAACACCAGUGGCGAAGGCGAGUCCCUGGACAACUUCUGACGCUGAGGCACGAAAGCUAGGGGAGCAAACAGG